GCCUGGGUGGCUCAGUCAGUUGAGCAUCUGGCUUUGGCUCAGGUCAUGAUCUCAUGGUUUGUGGGUUCAAACCCUACAUCGGGCU
rnacentral:tRNA from 1 species